rnacentral:rRNA from 1 species
UUGAUCCUGGCUCAGGACGAACGCUGGCGGCGUGCCUAAUACAUGCAAGUCGAACGCUUCUUUUUCCACCGGAGCUUGCUCCACCGGAAAAAGAGGAGUGGCGAACGGGUGAGUAACACGUGGGUAACCUGCCCAUCAGAAGGGGAUAACACUUGGAAACAGGUGCUAAUACCGUAUAACAAUCGAAACCGCAUGGUUUUGAUUUGAAAGGCGCUUUCGGGUGUCGCUGAUGGAUGGACCCGCGGUUGCAUUAGCUAGUUGGUGAGGUAACGGCUCACCAAGGCCACGAUGCAUAGCCGACCUGAGAGGGUGAUCGGCCACAUUGGGACUGAGACACGGCCCAAACUCCUACGGGAGGCAGCAGUAGGGAAUCUUCGGCAAUGGACGAAAGUCUGACCGAGCAACGCCGCGUGAGUGAAGAAGGUUUUCGGAUCGUAAAACUCUGUUGUUAGAGAAGAACAAGGAUGAGAGUAACUGUUCAUCCCUUGACGGUAUCUAACCAGAAAGCCACGGCUAACUACGUGCCAGCAGCCGCGG